GGGGUUGUGGCUCAGCGGUAGAGUGCUCGCCCAGCAUGCAAGAGGCCCUGGGUUCGAGCCUCAGCACCACG
rnacentral:tRNA from 1 species